GACGAACCGUGCGAACGUUGUUCGGAAUCACUGGGCUUAAAGGGCGCGUAGGCGGGCUAUCAAGUCCGGGGUGAAAUCCUCCAGCUCAACUGGAGAACUGCCUCGGAUACUGAUGGUCUCGAGGAGGAUAGGGGCACACGGAACUGUGGGUGGAGCGGUGAAAUGCGUUGAUAUCCAUAGGAACUCCGGUGGCGAAAGCGGUGUGCUGGAUCCUUUCUGACGCUGAGGAGCGAAAGCGUGGGGAGCAAACAGG
rnacentral:rRNA from 1 species